UACAGAGGUCUCGAGCGUUAGGCGGAAUCACUGGGCUUAAAGCGUGUGUAGGCGAGUCGUUAAGUGUCUUGUGAAAUCCCCCGGCUCAACCGGGGAAUGGCUGGGCAUACUGGCGAUCUUGAGCAGUCUAGGGGCAGAUGGAACAAGUGGUGGGGCGGUGAAAUGCGUAGAUAUCACUUGGAACGCCAACGGUGAAGACAGUCUGCUGGGGACUUGCUGACGCUGAGACACGAAAGCCAGGGGAGCGAACGGG
rnacentral:rRNA from 1 species